UACGGAGGGUGCAAGCGUUAUCCGGAUUCACUGGGCUUAAAGGGAGCGUAGGUGGGUUGUUAAGUCAGCGGUGAAAUCCCCGAGCUUAACUUGGGAACUGCCAUUGAUACUACCAGUCUUGAAUACUGUGGAGGUAAGCGGAAUAUAUCAUGUAGCGGUGAAAUGCUUAGAUAUGAUAUAGAACACCAAUAGCGAAGGCAGCUUACUACGCAGUUAUUGACACUGAGGCUCGAAAGCGUGGGGAUCAAACAGG
rnacentral:rRNA from 1 species